rnacentral:sRNA from 1 species
GUGGCUAUUAUCAUGGAAAACUAAUUUUUCCCAGAGAAUUUCCUUUCAAACCUCCCAGUAUCUAUAUGAUCACUCCCAACGGGAGGUUUAAGUGCAACACCAGGUAAGGUGCCUGGAGGGGCCGCGGAGGUUUUCUGGCUGCGGUGGGGAGUGUGCACUGACGGGGCCCCCGUUUCGCAGGCUGUGUCUUUCUAUCACGGAUUUCCACCCGGACACGUGGAACCCGGCCUGGUCUGUCUCCACCAUCCUGACUGGGCUCCUGAGCUUCAUGGUGGAGAAGGGCCCCACCCUGGGCAGUAUAGAGACGUCGGACUUCACGAAAAGACAACUGGCAGUGCAGAGUUUAGCAUUUAAUUUGAAAGAUAAAGUCUUUUGUGAAUUAUUUCCUGAAGUCGU